AUGGAGAAAUCAAUUAUUCUAUUGCUCUGGGUACAAUAUGUUGUUAAGAUCUCAAAAAGUUUCUGUUUUAUGAAUAAUCGAACAACAGUUGUUAUUGAAUGGGAUGAAUUUCCUAAGGGAAAAAGUCCUGAAUUUUAUUUUUUAAAAUACCAACUUGUUAAUAAUUUUGCUGAAAAAACUAUCAAAAGCAUUUUUAUAAACUCACAAGAGCUUUCAAAAGCAAUAACAAUAGAAGAAAAUGAAGACUAUCACAUUAUUCUACAGUCCAUAAAAUAUGGACAAAUUUUAAGUGAAAAGUCAUUUAAAACCCGCUCAUGUUCACCAGGAUGGAUAGCAUUGAGAAAUAGCUGUUACAAAAUUAGCAAAGAGAGUAAGCCAUGGAAUAUAGCCCAGCGACACUGUAGAUUAUCCUUAAGUUCUGCACACCUUGUGGAUAUAAAAAAUGAAGAGGAAAAAAAAUUUGUAUCUUUACUUCUCAGGUCAAAGAAUCAAAUAAUAAUAUGGACUGGUCUUAAUGAUUUGAAGAAAGAAGGUCAUCUCACGUGGACAGAUGGAUCAUCUUUUGGCCUUAAGAAGAAUGAAAUCUUUUCUUUUCCACUGCUACCCAAGAAUGAAACAGAUUGCUAUGUUUUACAGCAAAAUGCAACUGGAUCAAACUAUUUCUUCACAAGAUUUUUCUGUUAUGUUCCAUUGCCGUAUAUUUGCAGAUAUGACUCACCUUCUCUGCAGGAAAACCUUUUGAUCUAUAUAAAGGAUGUUGGAACAACUGAAGUUGUAUUUGGUUGGCAUAAUUUGAAUGCUUGGAAUAAUUUGAAUAAGUGGCUAAAACUGGGAUAUAAAAUUAUCAUUAAAUAUUAUUUAGAUUAUACAGAAGAAAAAUAUUUUGAAAGCAUAUCCCCAAAUUCUACGGAAAAAAGAAUUACCCAGUUGUUUCCUGGCCAUACUUACAGAUUUUUAUUCUUUGCAAUAAACGAAUGGGAGGCAAAAACUAUGUUAAGUUCAGUGUUCAUUGUUGAAACACGCCCGUUAUCAGCUCAAAAUAUCACAGUUACACAUGUGACCCCAACAGAAAUAUUUUUACACUGGAAUCCUCCAGAUCUUGCAUCUUUUCACCAUUAUCUUGUGACUAUUUUGAAUGUGGAAAACAAUAAAUCAGAAGAGAUGUUUGUUGAAAAACUCAACACAUCAGUGAAAAUCGGAGAUCUCAAACCUUUCCAUCAUUAUCUGAUAUAUUUAUUCAGUGUAGGGGAAAGAGGAACUUUAGGAUGCUCUGAGAGACCUAUUUCAGCCAUUACAGGUAUUAAUCCUCCUCAGAAAGUUCAUGCUAACCCUGAAGAUGUAGGAGAGGACAGUAUAAUUCUUCAGUGGGAAUCCCCACAAGAUGGCCACGAGGUCUAUAUUCAAAUCAGACCUGUAUCGGAUACAAGAGAAGUCAUGAAGCUUUUUGUAAAGGAGGCUAAUAGAUUCAAGUUUGAUAAUUUAACCCCUGGAAUGACAUAUGACAUUGGAAUGGCAACAGUGAUGAAUGGGAACUUGAGUGAGCUGGUAACUAUUCAACAAACUCUAAAGCCCAAGCCAGUCCAGAUUGUCAUCCCAUAUGAAAGUCAUAGCACCUCUGUAAUCUUAUUUGUUCAAAUGCCUGAUAUUGGAGUGUUUGAUGGCAUACAUAUUGCAAUCGAAGGAGGGCCAAAUGUAACUAAGCCCUUGAAACAUGACAAUAAAAUAACUGUUGGCAAUUUAACCCCAGGCACGGAGUAUAAUUUCUUUGUUUCCAUCACCAGUGGGACUAAAUUAAGUAAUAUGUAUUACGUGCCUGCAGUAAAAACAUGUAAGUGUUUGGGACUUACAUAA
rnacentral:lncRNA from 12 species